rnacentral:lncRNA from 1 species
AAAGCUGCAAACUUCAGAUGCUAAAGCAGGCAAAAAAAAGCUCAAAGAAACACAAAAGAAAAAGAAAAUGUUCGAUCCUUUAUCCAAUUGGCGAUCAAACUCCAGCAAGUAUAGGUAAACCCAGAUUGUUUGAUUCUUAUAGAAUGCCUAAAACCCUCUUGGAAGUGGAGCCAUUCAAAUCAAACGCAUUGUCAAAAUGCUCCCACAUACAGAACCAGUUGUGAAACAAUGGAGAUGUGUACAACCAGGAAAAAGAAGCGAUUUUCAAUAUGGAAUGUAUUUCAAGGACUUGCUAGGAAAAUAAAGCGCAAAGGCACACAGCUCGACACAAUUAUUCCUAAUGAC